AGAGAAAGGAGAAGCAGCCUGAGGUCGCUGACCUAGACUCCUGACUCCCACGAGUGGGAUGUGCUGUGGUCCAAUCGGAAGAGAGAGCCUCUUUUAAUUGCGUGCAGCAGGAAGAAUUGGGGUCCAGCGGGUGAACUCGCAAGGGAUGUAGCGGGGCUGAUGGACAGGAGACUAAAGAAGUCUCUGGGUAAUGCAUAGCCGGCUACCCACUUGAAAGACUCUUGUCUCAACGCAAGCUUGUCUGCUUCGUAGUUCACAACGUUCCUCAGAAGUAAACAUGAACGCAGGACUUCUCAGUAGCCCUUCCAGGUCGCCUGAAAGCAGCGCACCUGGGAAGCCUGAAGACAGCCGGGGGGCUUCUCCAGCCUCUGGCUCACAAGAUUUGGGACAGACUGACAGAGAAGACAAUGAGAUGCUGGCUUACUGAUGUGCUUGCUCGCUUUCUCUUGGGGGUCGGGAGUGUGGGGAAAAUGGGCUCCCUCCCCCACCCCAGCAUUGCUGUGCCGAGCAACAUUUUAUACCAGCUGAAUUUUUGUACUAACUGGUCUAUAUUGUGAAGGGAAAUCAUGAAAGAGCACUUUUCACACGGCUGUCUUUUUACAUUAUUCUAUGUGGCCUCCCAUUUCUUCUGGAGGAAUCUAGGGCACGUUUUAUCGCUUUUCCUGUCACCUUCGGGUGUUAACAAGCGGUCUGACUGGCUGUUAUUACAAAGUCCAGUCCAAUCUAAAUCAAACUUUAAGCUCAUUUCAUUUAAGCCUUCGCCCCUCCCUUCCCCUAACUCACAAACCCCAGCCUGACUUAAACCUAGAAAGAUAGUAAAGCCUCCUUUGUGCCAUUCACUUUCCUAUUUGGGUGCUCUGUGAAGCCCAUGCCUCCCAGGUGCAAGGAAUGAGGUCCUGGCGCUACAGCUCCUUCCUCGGGCCACUCCCACUCCUCCAGGGACUCAUCCCACCCCCACCCCCAUCCCACAGGCAGACCUGACCAUCUUCCACCACAUCGGCUGACAGUGUUCAUUAAACUCUCUACAGAAGCUCUGGUUAGCUUCUUCCUUGAGCCUCACACUCCAGAUGACAGGCACCAGCUUCUUCAACACAUUUCUUCUCAGGCACACAGUGAGUGAGCCCUUCCUCCUCGCCCCGCUGGUACCCUGCCAAUCUCACUGCUGAGCCAACAGAAUGCCUUCCUAGCAAGGACCACCGAAAAGACCAAUACCUCUAGGCCAUUGUGUACCUGCCUGUCUCCACGGCAGCACAAGGCAAGGCACUGAGAUCAUGGGAGUAGAAACAGCUAAGGCAUACAACUAUGACUCCUUGGGCUCUGCCAGGAAAACAAAGAGGAUGCCAGCAUCUUGCUGGCUUUCUCUACCUUACUUCUUUGAUUGUGUCAGGGUCCCUGGCCCCAUAGCACCGUGCUACUCAUACACUCAAGGGAAGUCCUCCCUCUCAGAGAACCCUCUCUGGAGAUGUCCUCACAAACACUUCCAAAGUCACCAGUCUCCUAGGUGAUUCUAAAUUGUCAAGUUGACAAUGAAGAUUAAUGGUUACAAAUGGUGUGGCCCUGUUGGAAGAAGUGUGUCACUGUGGAGAUUUUGAGGUCUCUUAUGCCCAAGCUAUGCCCAGUGUAGAACACAGUCUCCUGCUGCCUGUGGAUCAAGAAAUAGAACUCUCAGCUCCUUCUCUAGCACCAUGUCUGCGUACAUGCCACCAUGUUUCCCACCAUGAUGAUAAAGGAUUAAAUCUCUGAAACUGUACACCAGCCCCAAUGAAAUGAUUUCCUUUAUAAGAGUUGCCAUGGUCAUGGUGUCUCUUCGCAACAAUGAAACCCCAAGACACCCCCAUCGGUUCAUAUUUAAAUGCUUGGCUCCCUGUUGGUAGAGUGUUUGAAAGGGUUAGGAGGUAUGGCCCUGUCAAAGGGGAUGUGUUACUGAGGUGGGCUUUGAUGUGCUAUCUGUUGCCUAUGGAUCAGGAUGUAGAACUCUCAGCUGCUUCACCAGCACCGUGUCUGCCUACAUGCUGCCACGCAGCCCACCAUGAUGAUAAUGGACUAAUCCUUUGACAUUGUAAUCAAGCUUGCCUUGGUCGUGUCUCCUCACAGCAAAUGAACAGUGACUAAGACAGACGGGAAAAGAAAAUAUGCACUAUCCAGACCCCCGCUGAAGGCACAGGCUUACCCUCAGAUGAUGUCAUGAGGAUACCUAAGAAUCUCAUAGAGGCCUCUCAAGAUGAUUAUUUCAAAGUUACCAGGCUGAGCAUUGACUUUGCUUCAGGGUCCUAUUCUCUAUUGAUAGGGAAUGUCUUUGGGCCUUGAAGUCCCCAUAUCUUCCAGGGCUUUAGAAAAACAGGCAGCAUCGUGGUGCAUCUGAAAGACCCACAACAUGAGGACUCCCCCACGUUCUAACUCAGUAGAGGCGACACCCCAAAAUCACCAACGAGAAACGGUCUUGCUGCAAAUUGCAAGAGGAUUUUUAUUCAAGANNNNNNNNNNAAGAACAUCCUUUGCAUCAAGAAUUCCAGAUCAUGUGUCCCGCGGUCUUUCUAGGCUUCUCAUCCUGACCCAGGCAGGUCUGCAGUGGAGACAUUCUUGUUUGACGACAGAGCAGCACAUGCCUGAACCAUCCCCCAAAUUCCUGGGACAGUGUUUCCAACAAGGACUCUGGUCUCAGUCCCUCUGCCACCAGCAACCGGCUACCUGCAAGUAGGCAACCUCUCCUCCUAAGGAACGAAAGCAGAGCCCGGCACACCGCUGCCUCGGGACACACUUCCGAGCUCCGACAGGGUUGCUUGGUGCUUCUCCUCCCAGGGUUCAUUGCACGAGAUUGUUAAACACUUUCUGUCCAUACCUCCUCCCUCCACAGAUGGAUACUGGAUACAGCUCUUUAGCCCCGCCUGGGAUUUAUCCUUGGUGAAAGGAUAAGAUGCCUUGCCCGCAAGACCCAGCACAGAGCACUUUGACCAGGUUCUGCCUCCGCGAUACACGUUUCCCCUGCAGGUCAGCUUCUCUUUAUAUCUGAGACGGCUCUGCCUUUGUUUCUGGUGAAAAACCAUGCAAAACCUCAUAAAACCCUCAUCCUAGACAUAAGGCAAAUCCCCCUAGGCAAUUAUGCUUGCCACAGCUGAAUCACCCGG
ensembl:lincRNA Gm15721 predicted gene 15721